ACUCUAACCACGAUGAAGAAAACUGAUGUUCCCUUCUGAGCGCGAAGCGGGCAGUGAGUGAUGAUGCAUUUCAUCCGCUCCUUGCCAUUGAUGACCGUUCCAUGCUCUCUAGUGGAGCCUGGAGGUAGGGAUCAUGAUCAGAGUGG
rnacentral:snoRNA from 10 species